CGGUAAGAGAUCAGCUUGUACAGUAUCAGUUAGUUGGUGGGGUAAUGGCUUACCAAGACUAUGACGCUUAACUGGUUUGAGAGGAUGAUCAGUCACACUGGAACUGAGACACGGUCCAGACUCCUACGGGAGGCAGCAGUGGGGAAUAUUGCACAAUGGACGAAAGUCUGAUGCAGCAACGCCGCGUGGAGGAUGACACAUUUCGGUGCGUAAACUCCUUUUAUAUGAGAAGAUAAUGACGGUAUCAUAUGAAUAAGCACCGGCUAACUCCGUGCCAGCAGCCGCGGUAAUACGGGGGGUGCAAGCGUUACUCGGAAUCACUGGGCGUAAAGAGCAUGUAGGCGGAUUGAUAAGUUUGAAGUGAAAUCCUAUAGCUUAACUAUAGAACUGCUUUGAAAACUGUUAAUCUAGAAUGUGGGAGAGGUAGAUGGAAUUUCUGGUGUAGGGGUAAAAUCCGUAGAGAUCAGAAGGAAUACCGAUUGCGAAGGCGAUCUACUGGAACACUAUUGACGCUGAGAUGCGAAAGCGUGGGGAGCAAACGGGAUUAGAUACCCCGGUAGUCCACGCCCUAAACGAUGCACACUAGUUGUUGUGAGGCUAGACCUUGCAGUAAUGCAGUUAACACA
rnacentral:rRNA from 1 species